ensembl:lncRNA novel transcript, antisense to GZMK
AACUUAGGAUGAUCCAGCAGAAGUUACACCUAGUUGAAGGUGGUACCAUUACUGUUUUAUUCAGUGACCUUAUUGCCCUUUGGCGAGUGUGGGUGCAAUGGGGGCAGAUAUUACUUCAUGUGAUAAAAGACAAACAGAGAGUCUUCUAAAUUUUAUUUAGAAUAAAACCAGCAUGGUAGAAAUACAUCAGUGAUACAAGUGAAAAAGAACUUGAUUCCUUAAUAAAAUGACUUACAAGUGCAAAAAUGGACCCCAUAUGUGCUCUGCUUUACUUACACCCAACUCUAACCUGCGAGCAUAUUAGGAAAAAAGAAGCAAGUGCAUCCAAUAAAAUUAUUUGUAACUUAAUUUGUAUGAGGCGGGACAAGGUUGCUUUUGAUCCAAGUCUGGUAUUUCUUGGUUAACAGGGUGUAGAUUCCAGGCUUUGUGGCAACACCACAUUCAUGACCUCCAGAGACUAUAGCGUGGAAGACACCUUUACAGAUCAAGGGGCCCCCUGAGUCACCCUGGAAGGAAGAAAAAGGGCAAAUACGUGGUGUGUGGCAACAGUAAAGCUUUCUACAUGUUAAACAGAAUGAACAAAACCAACGCAGAGCAGUGACUUCCUGUCAGAGCAGAAGGAGACCCUUAUAGAACAGCUGUGCCACUGCUCCAAAGGCCUCGUGUGGUUCUAUCCCUUGGACUGCCUUUCUUCAACAGCCCAGACACCUGCUCUGUCAGAUUUAUAAGCCACACCCCCUAGAGCCAUGCCAAUCAAAGCAUGGCCCGCAGACCUGUGCCAGUCUCCGAACCUC